rnacentral:tRNA from 1 species
GGGCCCGUAGCGCAGCUGGUAGCGCGCCCCGCUUACACCGGGAAGGUCGUCGGUUCGAGUCCGGCCGGGCCCA